rnacentral:rRNA from 1 species
UACGAAGGGGGCUAGCGUUGUUCGGAAUUACUGGGCGUAAAGCGCACGUAGGCGGAUAUUUAAGUCAGGGGUGAAAUCCCAGAGCUCAACUCUGGAACUGCCUUUGAUACUGGGUAUCUCGAGUAUGGAAGAGGUGAGUGGAAUUCCGAGUGUAGAGGUGAAAUUCGUAGAUAUUCGGAGGAACACCAGUGGCGAAGGCGGCUCACUGGUCCAUUACUGACGCUGAGGCACGAAAGCGUGGGGAGCAAACAGG